CCUACGGGAGGCUGCAGUGGGGAGGCUUCCACAAUGGGGGAAACCCUGAUGGAGCGACGCCGCGUGGGUGAUGAAGGUCUUCGGAUCGUAAAGCCCUUUCAGUAAGGAUGAAGUUAUCCUGUGCUAAUACCAUGGGGUAAAAGACGGUACUUACAGAAGAAGCUCCGGCUAACUCCGUGCCAGCAGCCGCGGUAAGACGGAGGGAGCAAGCGUUGUUCGGAUUUACUGGGCGUAAAGGGCGUCUAGGCUGAUUUGAAAGUCAGAUGUGAAACCCCUCGGCUUAACCGGGGACCUGCAUUUGAUACUUCAAGUCUUGAGUACGGAAGAGGAGAGCGGAAUUCCUGGUGUAGCGGUGAAAUGCGUAGAUAUCAGGAAGAACACCGGUGGCGAAGGCGGCUCUCUGGUCCGAUACUGACGCUGAAGCGCGAAAGUGUGGGGAGCGAACAGGAUUAGAUACCCCGGUAGUC
rnacentral:rRNA from 1 species